ACACGUACUGUGCGAACGUUAUUCGGAAUCACUGGGCUUAAAGGGUGCGUAGGCGGUCUGUCAAGUCAGAUGUGAAAUGCCUGAGCUCAACUGAGGCACGGCGUUUGAAACUGACGGACUUGAGUGUUCCAGGGGUAUGCGGAACUGCCAGUGGAGCGGUGAAAUGCGUUGAUAUUGGCAGGAACACCAGUGGCGAAGGCGGCAUACUGGGGGACAACUGACGCUGAGGCACGAAAGCCAGGGGAGCGAACGGGAUUAGAAACCCUAGUAGUCC
rnacentral:rRNA from 1 species